GCAGAAUAUAUGGAACUUGGUUCUUAGCAACAUUAAAUUUCUUGGUUCAAUCCUUGGCUAGCAACAACAAUUUUUCAGAUUAGCCGAACGUCCUUGGCCUCCACCUGAGUUGGAUAGGACGCCUUUGUCACCUGCACGCACACACACAGCAGAGACAUCAAAACCAGGCCAAAUCAAAUUGAGCUCAUGAAAGAAGCGCUCCUUAACAUCGACUAAAACAAGAGGGACAAAAAACUAUAAUUAAAAUGUUUAAAUUUAAACCACCUUGAAAAAGAACUGUCUGUUUGGUAAAUCAUACUUCUCACUGCACACUAUCAGUGCAGAGAAACCUGGCAGAGCCACCAUUUGUCACUAUAGGAAGCAGCUUGCCUACGAAUGGCUCUUGACAUUAACAUGCCAUGGCAGUAACUCCGUAUGCAAAUAUAUGCAAUGCUACAGCAUCAGCUUCCAGUAUGUUCUCCAGGAUUACCAAUUUUUUAGAAAAAAUAAACAGAAACAGGGGCAUGUAGCGCUGAUUAGCUGAAACAUAAUGCAAAAUACAUAAAAACAGAGAAAGUAGUUGGUUUAAUGCCUCCGGUUAUAUAGUUUCAGUUUUGGUCAUUUUCUUUCUCUACUAUAGACCAUUCUUUUCUAAAUUAUAUAUAUGUGUCUGCUACUCCUAAGAUAGUUGUUAAAUCUGAUCUGCAGUUUCUAGAAUAUGUGGAUGACUGAACCAUGUCAAGAUUUGGCCUCAUGUACGCUAUCUUCUAUUUCUAACCAUGGAACAUUGUGGUACCUUUGGAACGCUAGCGACGGCCACUAAAACUUUCAUGAACCUAAACUGAUAACUACUG
rnacentral:lncRNA from 1 species